AACGCUAGCUACAGGCUUAACACAUGCAAGUCGAGGGGAAACGAUAUUGGAAGCUUGCUUCCGAUAGGCGUCGACCGGCGCACGGGUGAGUAACGCGUAUCCAACCUGCCCACCACUUGGGGAUAACCUUGCGAAAGUAAGACUAAUACCCAAUGACGUCUCUAGAAGACAUCUGAAAGAGAUUAAAGAUUUAUCGGUGAUGGAUGGGGAUGCGUCUGAUUAGCUUGUUGGCGGGGUAACGGCCCACCAAGGCGACGAUCAGUAGGGGUUCUGAGAGGAAGGUCCCCCACAUUGGAACUGAGACACGGUCCAAACUCCUACGGGAGGCAGCAGUGAGGAAUAUUGGUCAAUGGACGAGAGUCUGAACCAGCCAAGUAGCGUGCAGGAAGACGGCCCUAUGGGUUGUAAACUGCUUUUAUAAGGGAAUAAAGUGAGUCUCGUGAGACUUUUUGUAUGUACCUUAUGAAUAAGGACCGGCUAAUUCCGUGCCAGCAGCCGCGGUAAUACGGAAGGUCCGGGCGUUAUCCGGAUUUAUUGGGUUUAAAGGGAGCGUAGAUGGAUGUUUAAGUCAGUUGUGAAAGUUUGCGGCUCAACCGUAAAAUUGCAGUUGAUACUGGAUAUCUUGAGUGCAGUUGAGGCAGGCGGAAUUCGUGGUGUAGCGGUGAAAUGCUUAGAUAUCACGAAGAACUCCGAUUG
rnacentral:rRNA from 1 species